rnacentral:rRNA from 1 species
GACGAACGCUGGCGGCGUGCUUAACACAUGCAAGUCGAACGGAAAGGCCCUGCUUUUGUGGGGUGCUCGAGUGGCGAACGGGUGAGUAACACGUGAGUAACCUGCCCUUGACUUUGGGAUAACUUCAGGAAACUGGGGCUAAUACCGGAUAGGAGCUCCUGCUGCAUGGUGGGGGUUGGAAAGUUUCGGCGGUUGGGGAUGGACUCGCGGCUUAUCAGCUUGUUGGUGGGGUAGUGGCUUACCAAGGAUUUGACGGGUAGCCGGCCUGGGAGGGUGACCGGCCACAUUGGGACUGAGAGACGGCCCAGACUCCUACGGGAGGAAGCAGUGGGGAAUAUUGCACAAUGGGCGGAAGCCUGAUGCAGCAACGCCGCGUGCGGGAGGACGGCCUUCGGGUGGUAAACCGCUUUCGCCUGUGACGAAGCGUGAGUGACGGUAAUGGGUAAAGAAGCACCGGCUAACUACGU